CGUGUAGGCGGCCAGGUAAGUCAGAUGUGAAAGUCCCGGGCUCAACUCGGGAAGUGCAUUUGAAACUGUUUGGCUUGAGUAAGAGAGAGGAAAGUGGAAUUCCUGGUGUAGAGGUGAAAUUCGUAGAUAUCAGGAGGAACACCGGUGGCGAAGGCGGCUUUCUGGCUCUAUACUGACGCUGAGACGCGAAAGCGUGGGUAGCAAACAGGAUUAGAUACCCUGGUAGUC
rnacentral:rRNA from 1 species